rnacentral:tRNA from 1 species
UGGCGCGUAGUUCAGAGGGAGAACAGUAGAUUUAGCUUAUAGUCGCAGGUUCGAUUCCCGCCGCGCUAG